UUUCCGUAGGGGGACCUGCGGAGGGAUCAUUA
rnacentral:rRNA from 2 species